ACACUCCUGCGGGAGGCAGCAGUGGGGAAUAUUGGACAAUGGGCGCAAGCCUGAUCCAGCCAUGCCGCGUGAGUGAUGAAGGCCCUAGGGUUGUAAAGCUCUUUCACCGGUGAAGAUAAUGACGGUAACCGGAGAAGAAGCCCCGGCUAACUUCGUGCCAGCAGCCGCGGUAAUACGAAGGGGGCUAGCGUUGUUCGGAUUUACUGGGCGUAAAGCGCACGUAGGCGGACUAUUAAGUCAGGGGUGAAAUCCCGGGGCUCAACCCCGGAACUGCCUUUGAUACUGGUAGUCUUGAGUUCGAGAGAGGUGAGUGGAAUUCCGAGUGUAGAGGUGAAAUUCGUAGAUAUUCGGAGGAACACCAGUGGCGAAGGCGGCUCACUGGCUCGAUACUGACGCUGAGGUGCGAAAGCGUGGGGAGCAAACAGGAUGAGAAACCCGAGUAGUCCCA
rnacentral:rRNA from 1 species